GGGAACAAGAACAAGGUGAAGGGACAGCCAGCAGCUCCAGUGGCCAAAGACCCAUCCUCUUGCUCUUCAUCUCUGGAAACCAGAGUGGUUUACCUCACCCAGGUGGAUGAAGACCAUAGUAGGAUUCGCUCUUUUUCUUGGUAUUUUUGUCACCCUUGAAGACAGCAAUGGAUCAGCAGAGUGUGGAUUCUCACAGUCACCACUUUUGCGAUAUCCUUGGCUGGUUCCCCCCUAGAGCCACCCAUAUGCCUUCCCCAGCUUCCCUC